rnacentral:lncRNA from 1 species
CGCGCGGACGACUAGUUUAUGAAGGGUAAGGCGAAUUUUAUAUUUUUUAAACACGAGGAUGCUGGCAAGAUGGCGGCAUGACUAGUUGCAUUUGCAUGGCUGCGUAAAAUAAAGUUCGGGUAGGUCUUACUAAUGUUGAUAUAAAAAAAAAUAAAUAAAAAAAAAAGUCACACUCGUUUUAUGUGAUACUGAGAUUCUGGCAUAAAUUCGCUAGUUCUGCGGUUUAUUUAAUUCUAUAGAAGAGUGAGUUACCAUGGAUUUGUCAGUUCCCGAAGAGAUGGACGUUGAGGUUCAAAAGAUGACGGAGAAAAGACUUAUUGACGACACACACUCCUACACUUGCCGAAGCAAAAAAGGAGGCGAAUGUGACUCUUUCCCAAACACGCCGUCUAAAACACAGCCACCGAAGAAGCUCGCAAAAGGAGAUGCAUCAGAGGACUUAACCUUAAGUCAGGUACAGCACAGCAUCAUUCAAAUAAUCAAACAAUCAUCCGAGGAAAUAAAAGACAUGGUGAAAGAAAACUCAACCAGCAUCAACCUCUUGAAAGAAGCACUGGAAGUUGUGCAUUCUGAAAUAUUUGACAUUCGGAAAGAAAACGAAAAUUUGAAAAACAAAAAUGAAGAGAUUGUGAAGCGGGUCUCUGAUUUGGAGGACAAACUGAAUGAUCAGGAUCGAUACUGUCGGAGAUGGAAUCUGCGUUUAGAGGGGUUGACUGAACGUACCGAGGAUGAUGUCAAAUCUAGGGUGACUGAGAUCUGCAAAGCGGUGGUUGUCGAGGAAGAGCGUAACUUCGUGGCGAAUAAUGUGGACAUUGCUCAUCGCGUUGGAAGACCUAUAGACCGCGCCAAGGGAAAGAAACCGAGGCCAGUAAUGAUAAGAUUCGCUUCCAGAACAGCUCGAGACCUCACAUGGAAAGGAGCAAAGGGAAAUGACUUUCUCAAAAAGAACAAUAUGUACUUCAAAGAAGACCUCACGAUCAAAGACAGAGCUACACGGAAUCUCCUUUGGCCUGUGAUUGACAAAGCACGUAAAGAAGGCAAGAGGGCCUUCUAUGUGGGAGUCAAGGCAAUAGUGGAUGGUAAAGAAAUCAAACAUUAAACCAUGC